UACGUAGGGACCAAGCGUUGUUCGGAUUUACUGGGCGUAAAGGGCGCGUAGGCGGCAAUUCAAGUCAUCUGUGAAAUCUCCGAGCUUAACUCGGAACGGUCAGAUGAUACUGCUUUGCUAGAGUGCAGAAGGGGCAAUCGGAAUUCUUGGUGUAGCGGUGAAAUGUGUAGAUAUCAAGAGGAACACCUGAGGUGAAGACGGGUUGCUGGGCUGACACUGACGCUGAGUGCGCGAAAGCCAGGGGAGCAAACGGG
rnacentral:rRNA from 1 species